GAUCUUUAUGCAUCUAUGCCCACGGUGUAUGCAUGGGGCCGAAAGGGAAAGCAAAGCUUCGAGAGCGCAACCCGUCGCUCCACUAGCCGCCUUGUGCUUCUAGUUUAGCUCAUUCAGCGGAAGAAGAAGGAGGCAGCUAGGCUAGCUUAAUCCCAAGCACGAAAAGCAGAGGAAAAGACGAAGGAACCAGAAACCAGAGACAAGAACUGUCCCGUUCUAGUUCUACCGGCGCCAAGAAGGACGCGACGACGGUUGGGGUGGCAGACGGGGUUAGAGAUGCAACGAGUUCUGUAGCGCCUGCCUGCCCUUCGGACCGGCACGCAGCCGCUCGGCCUCUACCUAUCUAUUGUUUAAAUACUAAGACCGGCGGCGCAGCCUGUACUGGCCGCCACUCGCGCAGCCUGCGCACGACAGCCUCUACUCGCCUCCGCUCGCUCAGUUUGCGCACCGUAGCCUGUACCCGCCGCCGCUGGCACGGCCUGCGCACCGUAACCCGUACCCGCCGCCACUGGCGCGGCCAGCGCUCCUCAGGGCUUGGUCGACCUCGCGACAGUUCUCCGGUCGCUCGGCGCGGGGAAGGUGCCUAGCCACACUGUUCUUCGGGUUCCGAGGCCAGCUGGUACUUCGACGAGGCCUCCGUCUCGUUGACAAGCGACCAGGCUGCAAGUACUCGCAGCACGGGGGCCUAGGGUCGCUCGAGGGCUAGGGAACGAUGAAGUACUUCUUCCGGGCGAUC
rnacentral:rRNA from 1 species